CCCUGGGAAGGUACAACUGACAGCCGCUGAGACACUCUACAUGUUAGUUAAGGAAGAAGAGGAUUGCGUCUUCUGUAUUUCUGAAGGGUCAACAUGAAGGACGCUGAAGUGGCGGUGUAUGUCGGAGAUAAUUUCAACUGUUGCACGAGACAAGAUAUACUGCAAAAGUGGAAGCUACGGACACUAUUUGACUAUAGUUUCUCGAGUGACAUGGAAAGCUAAUUCUGGGUGUAAUUUACAUACCCCUAAACCUAGACAGGAAUACAAUAAACCUCUGUAGAAUGAAAUCACUAAGGCAUCUAGAUACGAAUAUUUUUUAACUGA